UUCACUUUUGUGUUAGCUGCUUGAUUGUUCGAUGCAAGAGAUGUCUUUCAGUUGAAAUAAUUCUUGGAAAAUGACCUUUAAUAUCAGAAGCACAGAAGGAUCAAAAUGCUCAUCAGUAAAUUCUAAGGCAUAUUUAUUCCAUCUAAGUGACUUAAUAAAGAGGAUUUCACCCCAAAUCCUAGUAGACUAUUGUAAACAUUUUGUAGGGCAUAUCUUUUUCCUAAUUUGUAUUUUUUAUAGCACUUAUGUAAUAGGUGUCUACUUUUGAAACUCAGGAGUCAGUUCCCAAAUAUACCUCUAUAGAUGUAGGGUUUGUGAUCCAGCUAGGGAAUUAGACUGGUAGACUGGGUUUUUAAAAACAUGUAUGACAUCUAAGUGUGUUAUCAUUUCCCUCCCCAUUAUUUGACUGUUUUGUCCCCUUAUUAACAGGUCCACAUUCCUUCACUUACCGUAUUCUCAAAUUUUCCGGUAUUCAGAAGCAAACAGAUAUAUUUGGCUAACUCCAUGGAUUUCUCACCACGAAGUGGAUAUUUUUCCAUAGCCAAUAGCAAAGGCAAAGCUUUAUUGUAUAGAUUGAAGCACUAUUCCAGUUUCUGAAUUCACUACUUUAGAAUGAGGUAAUUAUCCAGUAAAGUAGAUGUACAUCUGGAGAACCGAUGGUACUAUACUUUAAAUGUUCUUUUUGUCAGAAAGGAUGUUUUCUGUCAGUUUACUGGAGAUCACUAUGCACAACAGUGGUAAAAUUUUGAUGAUUGGUGAAUUUAGCAAGUCCAAUGGGUAGUAAGUCUCCUUAUGUUUAUCAGAGCUUGGAAAAUUAUAUUAAAAUAAUCUGCCCCUGUUAAUUGCAUAUAUGUAUUUGUACCUGAAUAAUUUUUAGGGUACUUCAUUGUUAUUCCGCAUUAGUUUUUUAAAAAUAACUUUUUUCACUACUCAUUACUUCUUGUUAAAAAAAUUACAGACUAUUAAGGAGUAACUUAAAAAUUGAAGAAGAUGCCUUGAAAUGCCCUUAAGAUGAUAUGAAAAGUAUUAGUACCAUAGAAAUAAUUGCCUUUGCUGUCCCCAAUUUGGCAUUGUUCCUCCUUGUGGACUUGCUUUUAAAAUGUCACUUUUCCAGCACAGUUAUAAAAAAACCACUCAUUACACAUAACUGUUACUUGUAACUCAUUAUUUGCAAGCUCUGGUCUUGGUUAGGAAGCUGUACAGUUUAAUAUUGCUAUAGUUGACAGAAGCACAAAGCUGUCAGUUGAAAUGCAAAAAGGUUUGUUUUUGAAUUUUGUUGUUUACAGACAUGUUGAGUUAUAUCUUCUAGUAGUGAAUUUGAUCCUACUAUUAAUUUCAAAUGUUACUAUUAACUAAGAACUGAAACCCAAUGUGUUUAUCCAGUUGGUGUCCUGCUGCUGGUUUGAAGACGCUUUGAUCCACCAGAGAUUUCAUCAACGUAAUGGUGGUGAAGUGGGUGUCAUGGUGCCCUCUGGAGGGCUGAUAACUUCUAGAAUAGCCUGGGAAGUGUCUUGUUGGACUACAGAGAGCAGGGGUGAUUGUUGUAAACUAUUUCCCCCCUCCUUUACAUUGAUGGAAACCCUAGCUCAAAUUAAAAUCACUUAAGCUUACAUUUUAAAUAAAAAGACCACUGGUUACUCAAAAAUAUCUAAGAUCAAUCUUGUGCACACUCACUUAUUCAGAGCCAUACUAAACUCAGCAAAACUUGUAAAUAUACAUAAAUAGGAUUUCCUAUGCAAGGAGGCUGUGUAAUUUAUUAUGAUCUGAGUGGCUCUACAUACCUUUUAUAGACAGGGUGCAGUAUAAAUCUAAUAAAUAUUGUUACAGACAACAUUCAAUAUUCUUAAAUCCCUUGGUGUUUUAACAUUGUUGGUCAUAAAGCUAAGAGACAAACACUUUUUUGUAGGAUGCAGUCUUUCAAAAAAGCAAAAUGUAUUGAUUUGCUGUUGGUACUUUUCUCUCUGCAGAUGACGUAAUCUCUGGUUCUAAAAAUGUGGAUUCAUGUUUUGUUCAUUGUUUUAAGAUUUUUUCUAUCUAUGUACAUGAAUAUCAAUACAUAGUUUUUUAAUAACUUGCA